UACAGAGGUGGCAAGCGUUGUUCGGAAUUACUGGGCGUAAAGGGCGCGUAGGCGGCCCGUCAAGUCCCGUGUGAAAGCCCCCGGCUCAACCGGGGAACUGCACGGGAAACUAGCAGGCUUGAGUUCGGGAGAGGGAAGCGGAAUUUCGGGUGUAGCGGUGAAAUGCGCAGAUAUCCGAAGGAACACCGGUGGCGAAGGCGGCUUCCUGGACCGACACUGACGCUGAUGCGCGAAAGCCAGGGGAGCGAACGGG
rnacentral:rRNA from 1 species